CCUACGGGUGGCAGCAGUGGGGAAUAUUGGACAAUGGGCGAAAGCCUGAUCCAGCCAUGCCGCGUGUGUGAAGAAGGCCUUCGGGUUGUAAAGCACUUUCAGUGGGGAAGAAAGCCUUGGGGCUAAUACCCUCGAGGAAGGACAUCACCCACAGAAGAAGCACCGGCUAACUCCGUGCCAGCAGCCGCGGUAAUACGGAGGGUGCGAGCGUUAAUCGGAAUUACUGGGCGUAAAGCGCGCGUAGGCGGUCUGAUAAGCCGGUUGUGUAAGCCCCGGGCUCAACCUGGGAACGGCAUCCGGAACUGUCAGGCUAGAGUGCAGCAGAGGAAGGUAGAAUUCCCGGUGUAGCGGUGAAAUGCGUAGAGAUCGGGAGGAAUACCAGUGGCGAAGGCGGCCUUCUGGACUGACACUGACGCUGAGGUGCGAAAGCGUGGGUAGCAAACAGGAUUAGAUACCCGUGUAGUC
rnacentral:rRNA from 1 species